UUUUUGUAUUUUUUUUUGCUGUCAGUGUUCUCCAUAUAAAAGAAAAUUGUCGAACAUACUUUUGUAUGGAACUACGUGAAACAUCUUCAACCAAACAAAAUAAUAAUUUUUCAAAAAUUUACGAAAUUUU